CAGUCGCCGCGGGAAUACGGAGGGCGCGAGCGUUACCCGGAUUUACUGGGCGUAAAGGGCGUGUAGGCGGCCUGGGGCGUCCCAUGUGAAAGGCCACGGCUCAACCGUGGAGGAGCGUGGGAUACGCUCAGGCUAGAGGGUGGGAGAGGGUGGUGGAAUUCCCGGAGUAGCGGUGAAAUGCGCAGAUACCGGGAGGAACGCCGAUGGCGAAGGCAGCCACCUGGUCCACUUCUGACGCUGAGGCGCGAAAGCGUGGGGAGCAAACCGGAUUAGAUACCCCCGUAGUCCCUGUCUCUUAUAC
rnacentral:rRNA from 1 species